UGCAGUUAUUACAAAAGCAGGUCUCAUGGAUCGUGAGACCUGCCUCAUAUGACUGCCCCAGAGUAAUCCAGUGAGGUCAUUCACACAA